GACAAAAAGAGAGCAAGCCCUAGGUUUCCUCUCUCUAAAAUUUUUGUGUUGCUCUGUCAAUUUCUAGGGUUUUCCUCUGGGUUCUGCAAAUCUCCGGAGGCUCCUACUUUUCUGUUUUCUACUGUUUAUGCUGAUUCAAGGUUCAAUGAAUGGGUGUUUUCAAGUUAUUCUUUAUUCAAAAAUGGUUCAAGAGAAUAAUUUGUUGAAAACUCUGGAAAAAAACUCGCGCUGAAGAUUGUGAAUCUGAGUCAAGGCUUUAGUCUCUCCUGAUCGAUUUGCUGGUAUUUUGGAUAUUCCUGUUUGUAGUAACGUAGUUUAAGGAUGGCAAUGUUGUCUUCAACGAAAGUCAUGAAUCAUUCAGGAGAGGUCACUGAGUUAUGGGGAUUGAGCUUAUUAUUUUGGGAUGCCGGUGAACACUCCAAGGGGGCCAGUGCAUACUGUGCAGAAAUUGAGGUUUAUUCUGGUGGUGCCAAGGUCUAUAAUAUAUAAUAUAUAUAUAUAUAUAUAUAUACAGCAACAAUAGGUGUAUCUUCUAGAGACUUUCAUUUGUGGACUGGAGAUGCCCAUAAUAUGUUUUUUGAAGAGGCUUCUGCAUAUCCUUUGGAGGCUGGUGCGUUUUCUGGCUAAUGGCGUUAUGAGGUUUAGGUUGAGCUCUAGCUUAUACAAUCUUUCAGAGACAUAAAUAGAUCGUUGGGUUUUGUUGUCUAUGGUUAUUUAGUGUUAAAACUCCUAUAGUUUGCCAUGAAGAAAAAAAAAAUUGAAAUAACCCCUAAUACGUCUAGGAGAGAUUGCACAAGUUUGGCCAAAAAAAAAAAAAAAAAUGAUUGCACAAGUCAUCCUAAAUAAAUUUCCUAAUUAUUAUUUCAUCAUUGUGAAUUAAGAAAGUACAAGAUAAUUGUUAGGCUGGCCUUUAUUUUCUUACAUUUAGAAGCCAUUGGACCAAGAUACAACAGCCAUCUUAAAGGCUCCCACUUUAAGGCUAUGGUGCAAAUUAUAUAUCGCCAAUGUGUUUCU